UCUUACUCGUUUGGUCGGUGUCCAAUCUUGGGCGGCUGCGUUCCAUGCUUUGGAAAAGGAGGAGGGUGGUCGGAUUCCUCGUGCGAUCCGGUUUUGGCCUUCGUGGCACGCGAAGUAUUUAGUGGCGAAUGGAGUAGAUCCCGUCGUCCUCGAGAAAGAAGAGUAGCGUUCAAGCUAGGAUCGUCGUCGCACACAAGGUGUUUGUUCUCGGGACCACAAGAAAACAAGGCCAACAGCAGCAAUGUAGAACUUCGAUGGGCAUGUUCUGGCUGCAAUCACUUGGGAAAAUACUUGCAGGACGGUGAUGAAAAGCCGAACGGAUUGUUGCACACAAGGUGUUUGUUCACGGAACUACAAGGGAGAACUCGGAUCGAGAAGCUCACGCGUACAGGCCAGUAGCAAUGGAGAGAAGAUGAAAAUGUGUACUUGGACCAACAAGUUUAGGCUAAGCAAGUGGUGGAGUUCUCCAUGGUAAGAAAGAUGACAGGACGGAGGGGAGAAAAUUAGGUGGAGCCUCUGGUCAGCAGUGUGGGAUGACGGAACACAUCGAAAGGAAUUAUCAGGUGAAAUUGAAUAGAAAAGAUGUGUUGGCUCCAAUGAAGAAACCAAAACCGGCUUUGGUAUAUUGCGGGUUACAUCAAAGGUUUUGCUUGCCGUUUGAGGCCAUGCAUUGUACAUAUGUAUUUUGUCUGAUCGAUAGUUUCUAUGCAAGUUGUAAGAGACAGAAUGGGACUCAUGGGGAGGAUAUUAAAUGGGUAAAAGCAGAGGAAAAGGAUAUGAUGAUUUAGCGAGUUCGAAACAAGGAAGCGAUGGAGAACAGGAUGCAGAGGACGGAUCGCUACUCCCAGUCUUGUCCACCACUAUCUGUGACAGAGAUGGAGAUGCCAUGCAACGAACCAUCUGUCAAUUUUCCUUGUUGCUCAGGUUCUUGAAGUGGACAAGAAGUUUCCUUCAAUUUCAAAGUAUUAUUAUUAUUAUUA